UACGAAGGGGGCUAGCGUUGUUCGGAAUUACUGGGCGUAAAGCGCACGUAGGCGGGUCGUUAAGUCAGGGGUGAAAUCCCGGAGCUCAACUCCGGAACUGCCUUUGAUACUGGCGACCUAGAGAUCGAGAGAGGUGAGUGGAAUUCCGAGUGUAGAGGUGAAAUUCGUAGAUAUUCGGAAGAACACCAGUGGCGAAGGCGGCUCACUGGCUCGAUACUGACGCUGAGGUGCGAAAGCGUGGGGAGCAAACAGG
rnacentral:rRNA from 1 species